rnacentral:lncRNA from 1 species
AAAUGCGCCCAAGGUGGUUGGGACACAGCUUGGUUUUAUACAUUUUAGGGAGACAUGAGACAUCAAUCAAUAUAUGUAAGAUGUACAUUGGUUCCGUCUGGAAACGUGGGACAACUGAGGCGAAGUCUGGAGAACUUGAAGGGGUGAUGGGGCUUCCAGGUCACAGGGGACGUUUUCCUUGAAGUGGUAGGAUUGAGAAGGCAAUUAUUCUUGAUGAUGAUGAUGAUGACGAUGAUGAUGAUGAAAUGUGAGCAGGUUUGAACUUUGCUUCAUAAUUCCUGGUUUGGAUGAGAACACGGAUCACUGAAA